GAAAUGCGAUAAGUAAUGUUAAUUGCAGAAUUCCGUGAAUCAUCGAAUCUUUGAACGCACAUUGCGCCCUCUGGUAUUCCGGGGGGCAUGCCUGUCCGAGCGUCAUUGCGAACCCCUCAAGCACGGCUUGUGUGAUGGGCCCUCCCGCGUCUUGGUCGUCAAGACGGGCCCGAAAUGCAGUGGCGGCUUCGCGGUUAUCCGAUCAGCCAGAGCGUAUGGGGACUUUCUCUCUGUCACACGCCCGCGGCGCGGACCGACGCCUGUCGACCUUCAUUCAUCGUUUUCUCGGUUGACCUCGGAUCAGGUAGGGAUACCCGCUGAACUUAAGC
rnacentral:misc_RNA from 1 species